rnacentral:lncRNA from 1 species
CCCUUUCUUCUUCAUCUUGCCCUCAGCUGGUGGCCGGCUGUCCCGGGCCACUCUCCACCGUUGCUCCCUCCUUGCGCUGACAUUUUUCUUGUUUUCUGCUGGUGAUGGAGAUCAAAGAGAGGGAGGAGAACGUGGAGGGGUUGAUCAAUGAUUGGGAGGAGGAAAGAGAUGCUGUUGCGAGAGAAAGAGAGAGAAAAGGAGAAGAGAAAGAAGAAUCUGAUUUGCUUUGUCCAGAGAUGCUUUGACGGUUUUCUACAUGACCGUGUAAGUAUCGUAUUGACUUUAUUUAUGAUCAUGCAUGCGAGAUAUUAACUAAACCGGCUUUGCAUAUCAAAGAUUUGGUACCCGAAUUGUAUAUUAAAAAAUAUUUAGGGAAUGUGAUUUCCUUCUUUACCAAAAUAUAUAUACAUGAUGGUUUUAGAAAGUUGUUUAGAUUUGUUUACAGAACUUCGUCAUCAGCAUCAAAUCAUGUCUUUGUAAUAGCAAGUUGCAAAAGUCAAACAAGUUUAGUUGAACGUGUUUGCAAUAUAUAUAUGUCGAUCAUCCUAGAGCAUAAGUAUAUAAAUUCAUUGCAUUUAGGUAUGUUCACAACAUGGAGGCAGAAGAGAUCAUCCAUCACAGUGGUGAGCAGAAUAGAAACUGACCAGCAGCUCCCUCCCUUUUCUCUUCUUUUUCUUAUGGAUCAGUUUAUAGGGUGAAUUAAGUCAAAUAGGAUUCAAAAUAGAGGAAAAAGAGAGGGAGUUGCUGGAUUGUCUUUUCAAGGAUGUUUUGGGAUUAAGCUAAACAGGGGACAUUGCUAGGGAAACACUAAAAUGGGGCACCUCACCAGAAAUGUCUAAAAAGAAAGAUUUUUUCUAGGAAUUCAUCCUUAAAUUUACCUACUUUCUACAACAGAAAAAGUCAAACUAGAAUCCAUCAUUAGAUGAGUGGAUCCACUUUAUUAUUCUGAGAGAAAUCUUUUGCAUUUGGAGUUGGACUUUCACCCAUCAUUGCUUAACAAUUAAGCAAGAUUGCAUUGUUGGUCUUAAGCAGAAAUGCUGUGGCUUCCAUCUGCUGAUGGCAAUAGCUUUUGGGUUGCUUUACAGUUAAGCAAGAUUAAGAUUGCACUGCUAAUGUAAUAGUGAUAUGGGUUCCAUGAACAAUGAAAUUACUGCUGGGUUGAUUAAUACUAGUGAUGCUAUGUGACCCCAAACUGUGGCUGGCACAGUUUCAAUUUUCAUAAACAUCUCAGAAAGUGAACUGGUAGUGAUCAGACACCCUAUUUCUUAUAAGAUUUUGUGUUAAUAACAACCGUUCUUUUUCCAUUUUCUCUGGUAAUUACAGAAAUUUGAGCUUGGAUGAGAUUCCUUGAGCACUCAGUAGACGUAAGCCUGUCAAAUUCACAUGACAUGAUAUAGUGAGCAUAAAAAGAGAGAUCAAGUUCAUGAGAUUUCUCUUAGUACAAGGUUAAAGAAGGAUGAACUAUUAUUAACGAGGUGCUAAUUUAAGAAUAUCGAUCUGAAAACCCUCAUUUUUGCUUCCUAAGGUAGUGAAAAAUUGGUGCUAUCAUUUGAUAGAUUUACUCAAAGCAGGAUGAUUAUGGUUUCUGUCAAGUAACUCAUGGAGCUGCCACUAUGAACAAGUCUGUCGAAACUAAUUGAUAAAGGCACAAAUUCUCUGGAUUCAAAGGCAGACUGUACUGUGAUGGACAAAUUUGAAUCACAGUAUAGAAUCUUGUCUUAGAAAAGUAUUAAUUAGCUCGUAUUGUAAUUGGAAUUCUCAUAAUCAUGGAUUGUGACUCCGAAACACUUCUGAAGUCCUGUCAAAUUUACACUGAAGAGAGGCAGUAUCAUAUCCAUGGAUUGGUGGGCUACAAUUGCUUGGAGCACUGACUUGUUAUUAAAUUUAGGGAUAGCGUGGAGACUAAUAAAAAGGAAGUAUCAAACAUUAAAAUCUGCAGUAAAGAUGGCCACCAAAAAAAGCAGUGGACCAAAGGCACUCAGAACACUGCAUCCUCUUAUCACCAUCCUUUAAUUGCCCUAUAACCAAUACUAUUCUAUGUUAUCACUUGUGCAAUUGGCAGAUUAACUUUCUAAAGUGAUCUCUCAGAUCAUAUCACUUGUGCAAAUGGCAGAUUAACUUUCUAAAGUGAUCUCUCAGAUCAAAUCCUCCUCUCCAAGCUAACAUCUUUCAUCACCAUUACAUGCUCAUCAAAAAGCAUGGGGAAAGGGCACACUACAUUCACAUACAGCAAUCCAAUUCCUUGAGGAGAUGGUUGUGUUUCCUCAGAUUUCUUUUCUCUUUUAUGAGUUCACUUUCUCUACUGCUUUGAUAGUAACUUGAAUUCAAGGUAAUUUUUUUCUCUUUUUUCUUUUGGAGAUAAUCUCCCUUGUCUGUAUGUCAAUGGAUAUGUUCUUUUUUAAUGGGAAAUUUGUAUAUGUAUUUUGCAUUCCAUCUGGUUAACAAAGUGCUUUGUCAUCAAA